rnacentral:misc_RNA from 1 species
AAGUCGUAACAAGGUUUCCGUAGGUGAACCUGCGGAAGGAUCAUUAACACGUAUCCAACGUUAAACAACCCUGUGAACUUUCAGCGCUCUUGUAGCCCCGGAGGAACAGCAAUCCCGGUAAAUCAAAUGGCGGAAAGAGUUUUGAUUCGGGACCUCUGUCCAAAAGGUAUCAAGUUACAAUCGAGCAGAGCAGUGGCAUGGUUUCCCUAAGCAGUGCAGAAGGAUCCACUGAGUAAGGAUAACGCAUCACACAGGGCUUUACGCCCCUUCAUUCACCCCUUGCCUAAUCAAGCCUCGCGGAAACGCCGGGCAUAAAAACCGAACAACUGUUAACAAUGGAUAUCUUGGUUCUC